UACGUAGGGUGCAAGCGUUGUCCGGAAUUAUUGGGCGUAAAGAGCUCGUAGGCGGUUUGUCGCGUCUGCUGUGAAAACCCGAGGCUCAACCUCGGGCUUGCAGUCGAUACGGGCAGACUAGAGUGCGGUAGGGGAGACUGGAAUUCCUGGUGUAGCGGUGAAAUGCGCAGAUAUCGAGGAGGAACACCGGUGGCGAAGGCGGGUCUCUGGGCCGUAA
rnacentral:rRNA from 1 species